rnacentral:rRNA from 1 species
AUGAGUCACCCUGAUGGCAUCAACAUCCCCAAUGGCAAGUUCUACCUAGGAGAUGCUGGUUAUGCAUGUCGCCCAGGUCUUCUUCCACCCUUCAGGAAAACCAGGUACCAUCUGAACGAGUUCGUUGGUAGGAACUAUCCUAGGACUCCAUAGGAGCUGUUCAAUAUCAAACACUCUAGCCUUAGAAUUACUAUUGAGAGGGCCUUUGGAGCUCUGAAGAAUAGGUUUAAGAUCCUAGAUCAGAAGUCAUUCCCCACUUUCCCCACUCAGGUUAAGCUUGUUCUUGCUUGUUGCAUUCUGCAUAACUGGAUCCUGCAAUGGGGUUGUGAUGAACUGGUGCCUGAGGAGGAAGAUGUGAUGCCUGACGAUGUUGUUAGCUCCGGCCAUGGUGUGGAGGAAUUUGACAACGAAACCUGAAAGAACAAAAGGAUGAAAUGGGCACAUGCAAUGUGGGAUAACAGAGGUCAGACAAGAAUCUGA